rnacentral:rRNA from 1 species
AAUGGGGAAACCCAGUGUGUUUCGACACACUAUCAUUAACUGAAUCCAUAGGUUAAUGAGGCGAACCGGGGGAACUGAAACAUCUAAGUACCCCGAGGAAAAGAAAUCAACCGAGAUUCCCCCAGUAGCGGCGAGCGAACGGGGAGGAGCCCAGAGCCUGAAUCAGUGUGUGUGUUAGUGGAAGCGUCUGGAAAGGCGCGCGAUACAGGGUGACAGCCCCGUACACAAAAAUGCACAUGCUGUGAGCUCGAUGAGUAGGGCGGGACACGUGGUAUCCUGUCUGAAUAUGGGGGGACCAUCCUCCAAGGCUAAAUACUCCUGACUGACCGAUAGUGAACCAGUACCGUGAGGGAAAGGCGAAAAGAACCCCGGCGAGGGGAGUGAAAAAGAACCUGAAACCGUGUACGUACAAGCAGUGGGAGCCCUGAUUUAUCAGGGUGACUGCGUACCUUUUGUAUAAUGGGUCAGCGACUUAUAUUCUGUAGCAAGGUUAACCGAAUAGGGGAGCCGGAGGGAAACCGAGUCUUAACUGGGCGUUAAGUUGCAGGGUAUAGACCCGAAACCCGGUGAUCUAGCCAUGGGCAGGUUGAAGGUUGGGUAACACUAACUGGAGGACCGAACCGACUAAUGUUGAAAAAUUAGCGGAUGACUUGUGGCUGGGGGUGAAAGGCCAAUCAAACCGGGAGAUAGCUGGUUCUCCCCGAAAGCUAUUUAGGUAGCGCCUCGUGAAUUCAUCUCCGGGGGUAGAGCACUGUUUCGGCAAGGGGGUCAUCCCGACUUACCAACCCGAUGCAAACUGCGAAUACCGGAGAAUGUUAUCACGGGAGACACACGGCGGGUGCUAACGUCCGUCGUGAAGAGGGAAACAACCCAGACCGCCAGCUAAGGUCCCAAAGUCAUGGUUAAGUGGGAAACGAUGUGGGAAGGCCCAGACAGCCAGGAUGUUGGCUUAGAAGCAGCCAUCAUUUAAAGAAAGCGUAAUAGCUCACUGGUCGAGUCGGCCUGCGCGGAAGAUGUAACGGGGCUAAACCAUGCACCGAAGCUGCGGCAGCGACACUGUGUGUUGUUGGGUA